rnacentral:tRNA from 1 species
GGGGCUGUAGUUCAGUUGGGAGAACGCUUCCCUUGCACGGAAGAGGUCGCAGGUUCGACUCCUGUCAGCUCCACUA